rnacentral:rRNA from 1 species
UGGGGAAUAUUGCGCAAUGGGCGACAGCCUGACGCAGCGACGCCGCGUGGGGGAUGAAGGUCUUCGGAUUGUAAACCCCUUUCGGCAGGGAAGAUGGAACGGGUAACCGUUCGGACGGUACCUGCAGAAGCAGCCACGGCUAACUUCGUGCCAGCAGCCGCGGUAAUACGAAGGUGGCAAGCGUUGUUCGGAUUUACUGGGCGUACAGGGAGCGUAGGCGGUUGGGUAAGCCCUCCGUGAAAUCUCCGGGCCUAACCCGGAAAGUGCGGAGGGGACUGCUCGGCUAGAGGAUGGGAGAGGAGCGCGGAAUUCCCGGUGUAGCGGUGAAAUGCGUAGAGAUCGGGAGGAAGGCCGGUGGCGAAGGCGGCGCUCUGGAACAUAUCUGACGCUGAGGCUCGAAAGCGUGGGGAGCAAACAGGAUUAGAUACCCCCGUAGUCCCUGAGCGGGCUGGCAAGGCGCAU